rnacentral:lncRNA from 1 species
CAGUGGAUCUUCCUGACCCAGGAAUCGAACCAGGGUCUCCUGCAUUGCAAGCAUAUUCUUUACCAGCUGAGCUACUAGGGAAGCCCAUGAAAGAAGGACCUCCACAGUUCUGGCGUAUUUGGGACAAAACAAUUUCCAGGCUGUUUCACUGACUUUGUGAACCACUGCCACCCUCUUUGGAAGUCAACCAACAACAGUAAGCCUAGCAGUUGAGCGUGUAGGUUUUGGCAUCAUGCAGACCUGAUAUUGACCAUGUCUCAGCUACUCAGUGCUGCUGCAUGAUAUAUCCAUCCAGACAUACAUGUCCAUAACUCUUUGAGGACCCUCUGAAGAAUGCACUCUCACAAUAGCAGCAUUUGAGGCCAAUGUAGACUUGAGAUUCCACAGUAGAAAUCAAGAAGGAAUCCGUAUCAUGCCACCCAAAGUAAUCAAUGUUAGUAUCUCUGACAUUUAUCGUCUCCCAAAUCUCUUNNNNNNNNNNNNNNNNNNNNNNNNNNNNNNNNNNNNNNNNNNNNNNNAGCAUCACUGACUCCAUUCUUGUCAACCCUAUCCCUACUUAUUUUCUCUUCUGUCUUGCUACACUGCUGAGUCCCCUCCAGAUCUCCAGUUUAGCAACAUAAAAACUGCACCAGGUAACAGGACCUUUGGAGAAGGCAAGUGGGGUUAUAUGGUAUUAGUUGCAAGAAGCAGAGGGAAUUAUUUAUGUCUCAAGGACUUCUCCUUCAUCGGUAUUUCUUUCUGGGUUUCCACUUCAUUCCUCGAGAAAGAAGCGCAUGGGAGCACCAUUUCCUGCUUCUCUCUGCUCCCUGGUCCGCUUCUCUUCAAGUGUGAAGGAAUAACUUUUCUAAACAAAGACACUAAGCAAACAAACACAAUAGGUCUACGUGGCAGCCCUGGAGGGGUGCCGCUCAGAUCCGCCUUCAAGAAAGAACUUGCCAGUGAGUGGCAACAAGUCAAGUUAGUUGACAGCCUCCAGAUUUUGAAAACCAUGUUCUUCUCCUUGGGCAGCCCCAACCCAUAACUAAACACAGUGGGAGUGCCAAGGCCUGGCCAUUUCUGCCUAAGGUGGUACCCCUUUAAGAGACAAGGUGUGCUUUGGAGGUCCCCAUGGGUUAGCAGGGGCUUUGUCAAAUGUGCAUUGAGAUCCCAGGCUCUCCUGCCCUAUUGUGCUUUCUUCCUUUUUCAUCUUUCAAAACUUAAACUCUCAACAAAAUUUUUGCACUCCUGGGUCUCAGAGUCUGCCUCUCAGAAGACCCCGCUUUACCCCUGCCCCAUCCCUCCUUCCCUCCUGUUUCUCUGUGUCUCUCUGUCUGUGUCUCUCUGUGUGUCUGUCUCUGUGUCUCUCUGUGUGUAUGUGUGUCUCUCUUUCUGUGUAUCUCUGUGUGUGU